rnacentral:rRNA from 1 species
UACGUAGGGGGCGAGCGUUGUCCGGAUUUAUUGGGCGUAAAGAGCUCGUAGGCGGCUUAGCAAGUCGGGUGUGAAAACUCCAGGCUCAACCUGGAGACGCCACUCGAGACUGCUAUGGCUAGAGUCCGGUAGGGGACCACGGAAUUCCUGGUGUAGCGGUGAAAUGCGCAGAUAUCGGGAGGAAUACCUAUGGCGAAAGCAGGUUUCUGGGCCAUCACUGACGCUGAGCUGCGAAAGCUAGGGGAGCAAACAGG